UAUACUGACGUCCAAUUUUUUUCUUUUGUAAAAAUUACUGUUAUGAAAUAUUAAUAAAUUGAAUGUUGUUCACGUACUCACUUAAUUUUGUGUCUUAGACUAUCACCAUUGAUGACUAAAUGAAAAAUUCGGUAGCUACAUAGUAUUAAUUUAAAAAUCCAAAAAGGGAAAAACUCAUAAAAACCCUAUCUAUUAUAUCUAAUACUUAGAAAAACCCCUAUAUAAUUAUUUUGUACGUAUCAACCACUAUGAUUUCCAAAACCGUUUAAAAUCCCUACUUUAUCUGGUGACUAGGAUGAGGCUCAACGGUCUCGGGUCUCAGCUAGAGAGCAAAGAAAACAGCAACAAUUUUUUUAUAUGUUUCGUUUCUUGAUAUUUGUUGCUGGUUUUUAAGUGGAGGGGAUGAUGAACAGUAAAUUGCUAGAGGUUGUUCGGUUUCGGAAAAGGCAGUGUGUAGGUCGUCGGGUUUUGCAAAGGUCUUCGGGCUCGAGUGGGUUUGGAACCGAAGGGUUGGUCUCCCUGUUUUCAAUUUGGUUCUAGAGUUUCACAUGUGAUGUUUCGAGCAGGUGACGGUGGUUAACCGGUUGUUGAUUUUGUGGUGAUGGUUUCGGAAGAUAGUUGGUUCUCGGUUUUUUCAGAUUUAAGCAGAAGUAGCAACAGGUAAUGGUGGUGGAACAAAUACAAAUUUUUUUACUCAACAGAAGAAACGAUUUUUGUGAUUUUCGGUAGCAACAACACACAAAAAGGAGUUUUUUUUUUUUUUUUUUUUCUUUUUCUUUUUUCUGUUGCAGGUUCUCGAUGGGGACGAUGAACAGUGUUCUUGCUUCUCUUUGAUUCUUCUUCUUUCAAUCUCGAUGGUGGAACAAACACAUUUUUUUCUUCUUUCUUUCUUGUUUACUCGACAGCACCAACACACACAAAAAAAGAUUUGUGUGAUUUGGUUUUGAUUUUUGGUAGCAACAACAUAGAAAAAGAAAUUCUCAGAUUUCUUUAAUUCUUUUCUUGUUCUGUUUUGUGAUUCAUCUUUCUUCUUCCUGUUUGGUUUUUGUUUUCCGGUUUGUGUUGCAAGUUUAGAGGUUUGAAACGAGGGUGAUGGUCUCCUGUUCUGUGAUUUUUUUUUCUUUUUUUCAUUCUUGUUCAUCCCAAACCACAAUGAAAAUAACUAUAUUUCUGUCUUUUCUUUGGUUCUCAACAAAACAAAAUGGAGGAGAUGAGCUAUGGGUUUCGGUUAAUGGUGGUUCGUGGUUGGGUAGCAGUGGUGAUCUCGGGGGUAGGGGUGAACUGAAAAACACAGCAGCAGAGACAACAAGGUGGUGGUGUUCGGCAGUUCAAUAGGUCCGGAUGAAGAGGGUGAUGAAUAGUGGUUAAUGCUUAAUGUUUAAUGCGUACAAAAGCUGUGUUACUAGUAGCUUUGCGCUAACCGGUCACAAAGAUUGAAAACAAUCAAAAUUAGAAAUAAUAAUGGUUAAUGCGUACAAAAAAUCAUAUAAAGGUUUUUCUAA